rnacentral:rRNA from 1 species
UUUUAGAAUUUAAUUUAAAGUCUAACCUGCCCACUGAAUAUUUUAAAUGGCCGCAGUAUUCUAACUGUGCAAAGGUAGCAUAAUCAUUAGUCUUUUAAUUGAAGGCUGGAAUGAAUGGUUGAAUGAAAUAUUAACUGUUUCAUAAAAAUUAUAAAUAAAACUUUAUUUUUUAGUUAAAAAGCUAAAAUAUUUUUAAAAGACGAGAAGACCCUAUAAAUCUUUAUAUUUAAAUAAUUUUAAUUAUUUAGAUAAGUUAAAUUAUUAUUAUUUUAAAUAUUUUAUUGGGGUGAUAUUAAAAUUUAAUAAACUUUUAAUUUAUAACAAACAUAAAUUAAUGACUUAUUGAUCCAUUUAUUAUGAUUAAAAAAUUAAGUUACUUUAGGGAUAACAGCGUAAUUUUUUUAGAGAGUUCAUAUUGAUAAAAA